AGGUAAGCUACUAAGAGCGAAUGGUGGAUGCCUUGACUGGUAAAGGCGAUGAAGGACGUACUAGACUGCGAUAAGCUACGGGGAGCUGUCAAGAAGCUUUGAUCCGUAGAUUUCCGAAUGGGGCAACCCAAUGUAUAGAGAUAUACAUUACCUAUAUAGGAGCGAACGAGGGGAAUUGAAACAUCUUAGUACCCUCAGGAAAAGAAAUCAAUAGAGAUUGCGUCAGUAGCGGCGAGCGAAAGCGCAAGAGGGCAAACCCAGUGCUUGCACUGGGGGUUGUAGGACUGCAAUGUGCAAGAGGUAAGUUUAGCAGAACAUUCUGGAAAGUAUAACCAUAGAGGGUGAUAGUCCCGUAUGCGAAAAACAAACCUUAGCUAGCAGUAUCCUGAGUAGGGCGGGACACGAGGAAUCCUGUCUGAAUCCGGGUCGACCACGAUCCAACCCUAAAUACUAAUACCAGAUCGAUAGUGCACAAGUACCGUGAGGGAAAGGUGAAAAGAACUGAGGUGAUCAGAGUGAAAUAGAACCUGAAACCAUUUGCUUACAAUCAUUCAGAGCCCUAUGUAGCAAUACAGGGUGAUGGACUGCCUUUUGCAUAAUGAGCCUGCGAGUUGUGGUGUCUGGCAAGGUUAAGCAAACGCGAAGCCGUAGCGAAAGCGAGUCUGAAUAGGGCGCUUAGUCAGAUGCUGCAGACCCGAAACGAAGUGAUCUAUCCAUGAGCAAGUUGAAGCUAGUGUAAGAACUAGUGGAGGACUGAACCCAUAGGCGUUGAAAAGCCCCGGGAUGACUUGUGGAUAGGGGUGAAAGGCCAAUCAAACUUCGUGAUAGCUGGUUCUCUCCGAAAUAUAUUUAGGUAUAGCGUUGUGUCGUAAUAUAAGGGGGUAGAGCACUGAAUGGGCUAGGGCAUACACCAAUGUACCAAACCCUAUCAAACUCCGAAUACCUUAUAUGUAAUCACAGCAGUCAGGCGGCGAGUGAUAAAAUCCGUCGUCAAGAGGGAAACAACCCAGACUACCAGCUAAGGUCCCUAAAUCUUACUUAAGUGGAAAACGAUGUGAAGUUACUUAAACAACCAGGAGGUUGGCUUAGAAGCAGCCAUCCUUUAAAGAAAGCGUAAUAGCUCACUGGUCUAGUGAUUUUGCGCGGAAAAUAUAACGGGGCUAAAGUAAGUACCGAAGCUGUAGACUUAGUUUACUAAGUGGUAGGAGAGCGUUCUAUUUGCGUCGAAGGUAUACCGGUAAGGAGUGCUGGAGCGAAUAGAAGUGAGCAUGCAGGCAUGAGUAGCGAUAAUUAAUGUGAGAAUCAUUAACGCCGUAAACCCAAGGUUUCCUACGCGAUGCUCGUCAUCGUAGGGUUAGUCGGGUCCUAAGUCGAGUCCGAAAGGGGUAGACGAUGGCAAAUUGGUUAAUAUUCCAAUACCAACAUUAGUGUGCGAUGGAAGGACGCUUAGGGCUAAGGGGGCUAGCGGAUGGAAGUGCUAGUCUAAGGUCGUAGGAGGUUGUACAGGCAAAUCCGUAUAACAAUACUCCGAGAACUGAAAGGCUUUUUGAAGUCUUCGGAUGGAUAGAAGAACCCCUGAUGCCGUCGAGCCAAGAAAAGUUUCUAAGUUUAGCUAAUGUUGCCCGUACCGUAAACCGACACAGGUGGGUGGGAUGAGUAUUCUAAGGCGCGUGGAAGAACUCUCUUUAAGGAACUCUGCAAAAUAGCACCGUAUCUUCGGUAUAAGGUGUGGUUAGCUUUGUAUUAGGAUUUACUCCGAAAGCAAGGAAACUUACAACAAAGAGUCCCUCCCGACUGUUUACCAAAAACACAGCACUCUGCUAACUCGUAAGAGGAUGUAUAGGGUGUGACGCCUGCCCGGUGCUCGAAGGUUAAUUGAUGGGGUUAGCAUUAGCGAAGCUCUUGAUCGAAGCCCGAGUAAACGGCGGCCGUAACUAUAACGGUCCUAAGGUAGCGAAAUUCCUUGUCGGUUAAAUACCGACCUGCAUGAAUGGCGUAACGAGAUGGGAGCUGUCUCAAAGAGGGAUCCAGUGAAAUUGUAGUGGAGGUGAAAAUUCCUCCUACCCGCGGCAAGACGGAAAGACCCCGUGGACCUUUACUACAGCUUGACACUGCUACUUGGAUAAGAAUGUGCAGGAUAGGUGGGAGGCUUUGAGUAUAUGACGCCAGUUGUAUAUGAGCCAUUGUUGAGAUACCACUCUUUCUUAUUUGGGUAGCUAACCAGCUUGAGUUAU
rnacentral:rRNA from 1 species